AGAAUUAUAACCUGAAUCUGCAGCUCCCCUCACUUUUACAGAGAUUCAUAGAGAGUUUCAGCUCAUUGUUAGGCUCCGUAACUUUUCUUUUU